CCUACGGGAGGCAGCAGUGGGGAAUAUUGGACAAUGGGCGCAAGCCUGAUCCAGCCAUGCCGCGUGGGUGAAGAAGGCCUUAGGGUUGUAAACCCCUUUCAGCGGGGAAGAUAAUGACGGUACCCGCAGAAGAAGCCCCGGCUAACUCCGUGCCAGCAGCCGCGGUAAUACGGAGGGGGCUAGCGUUGUUCGGAAUUACUGGGCGUAAAGCGCGCGUAGGCGGACUUUCAAGUCAGGGGUGAAAUCCCGAGGCUCAACCUCGGAACUGCCUUUGAUACUGUAAGUCUUGAGUCCGAGAGAGGUGAGUGGAAUUCCUAGUGUAGAGGUGAAAUUCGUAGAUAUUAGGAAGAACACCAGUGGCGAAGGCGGCUCACUGGCUCGGUACUGACGCUGAGGCGCGAAAGCGUGGGGAGCAAACAGGAUUAGAUACCCUGGUAGUC
rnacentral:rRNA from 1 species